rnacentral:rRNA from 1 species
CAAGAAGACCCUAAGAAUUUUAAAAAUAGUAAUUUUUAGUUUCAAAGAAUGCUAUUUUUUAGUUGGGGCAACUAAGAAAUAUUAUAAACUUUUUUAAAAUAAAAUGAUCCAUUAUUAAUGAUUAUUUGAAAAAAUACUCUAGGGAUAACAGCGUAAUAAUUUUUGAUAGAACAUAUAGACAAAAUAGUUUGCGACCUCGAUGUUGGAUUAGGAUACUUUUUUAAUGAAGAUGUUAAAAAAAGAAGUUUGUUCAACUUUUAAAGUCCUACUUGAUCUGAGUUCA